UGGGGAAUUUUGGACAAUGGGCGAAAGCCUGAUCCAGCAAUGCCGCGUGUGUGAAGAAGGCCUUCGGGUUGUAAAGCACUUUUGUCCGGAAAGAAAUCCUUGGCUCUAAUACAGUCGGGGGAUGACGGUACCGGAAGAAUAAGCACCGGCUAACUACGUGCCAGCAGCCGCGGUAAUACGUAGGGUGCAAGCGUUAAUCGGAAUUACUGGGCGUAAAGCGUGCGCAGGCGGUUUGCUAAGACCGAUGUGAAAUCCCCGGGCUCAACCUGGGAACUGCAUUGGUGACUGGCAGGCUAGAGUAUGGCAGAGGGGGGUUAGAAUUCCACGUGUAGCAGUGAAAUGCGUAGAGAUGUGGAGGAAUACCGAUGGCGAAGGCAGCCCCCUGGGCCAAUACUGACGCUCAUGCACGAAAGCGUGGGGAGCAAACAGGAUUNGAUACCCUGGUAGUCCACGCCCUAAACGAUGUCAACUAGUUGUUGGGGAUUCAUUUCCUAGUAACGUAGCUAACGCGUGAAGUUGACCGCCUGGGGAGUAC
rnacentral:rRNA from 1 species